UACGUAGGGGCUAAGAGUUGGCCGGAAUUACUGGGUGUAAAGGGCGUGUAGACGGGGAUGCAAGUCAGAUGUGAAAUUCCAGGGCUCAACCCUGGCGCUGCAUCUGAAACUGUGUCUCUUGAGUGCUGGAGAGGAAAGCGGAAUUCCUAGUGUAGCGGUGAAAUGCGUAGAUAUUAGGAGGAACACCAGUGGCGAAGGCGGCCUUCUGGACAGUCACUGACGUUGAGGCGCGAAAGCGUGGGGAGCAAACAGG
rnacentral:rRNA from 1 species